rnacentral:lncRNA from 1 species
AUAUACACAUAUAUCUAUUUUAUAUAUAAAUGUAUUCAUACUUACCGUAAUUUUCUUUUCCUGGUCAUAGGCCAUGGCAGCACAACAAUGGGUAGCUCCUCCCCAUCCCCAGUUAGACAGGAACUAAUUAAAACAAGGGUAUAAGUAACCCCUCCUACCCUCAGUCUUGUAUUCCAGCAAAAAUCCCUGGGCGGGAUCUUUGUGCUGCCAUGUCCUAUGACCAGGAAGAGAAAAUUACAGUAAGUAUGAAUAAAUUGUCCUCUUUCCUGGCCAUAUCCAUGGCAGCACAACAAUGGGUAAUACCCAAGCAGAACGAAGGGAGGGAAAAGAAUACACGGACUCAAUGUUGGAUGCUGAAAGGACACUUUUACCAAACUUGUCCCAUUGACAAGCUCUGACAUCUAUUUGAUAAUGCCGAAUAAAAGGUGUUCACCGAAGACCAUCUAGCUGCUCUGCAGAUAAGCUCUGGAGAUACUCUCGCUGCGGCUGCCCAAGAGGAGGAAAGGGACCUGGUCGAGUGAGCCUUUAGACCGUUCGGUACUGGAAUGGUAAGCCUGAAUGAUAGAGACAAUCCAUCUGCUCACGGCCUCUUUAGAAGCUUGGCGACCUUUCCUAGCCCCAUUCGGUAUGAUGAAUAGCUGAUCCGACGAACGCCAGCCAAGAGAUCAGUCAAUAUAGAUUCUUAAACAUCUUACCAAAUCCAGUGGAGAAGAACCUCCUUCUUGGGAAUGUUCUUCUUGCGUCAGGGCAGGAAGCACUAUGUCUUCAUUAACAUGAAAUGCCGUGGUUACCUUAGGGCGAAAUUCGUGAAUGGUUCUUAGAAUCACCCUGUCUCUGUGAAACACCAUGAAAAGGCUCUUUGACUGAUAAGGCACUGAGCUCCGAAACCCUUCUUCCUGAUGCUAAUGCCACCAGCAAAACGGUCUUGAUGGUAAGAUGAGGAGAGAUGGACUCCAGGGGUUCGAAGGAAGCGGACUUGAUGGCUUGUAAUACCGGGGGUAGAUCCCAUGGGGGAGCAAAUGGCUUGAUCGGAGGUUUAAUCUUGAGGACUGCAGCAAGAAACCUAGAUACAUCUGGGUUAAAGUCCCAUUUGUGGUCAGUGAGAGCUGAAACAGCGGAGACAUGUAACUUUAAGGUAUUGUAGCUCAAACCCUUAUCCAGACCUGUUUGUAGAAACUCCAAGAUGUCUUUAAUUGCAGGAUGCUGUAUGUUAACCUGCUUGGGAGAGGCCCAGGAAGAAAAAGCAUACCAAAUUCUAUAGUAGGUAGAGGAAGUGGAUCGCUGUAACAGGGUAUCUGUGACUGCAACCGAGAAACCCUUCUCUAGAAGCCUUUCCCUUUCAACCUCCAGGCCUUCAGGUUGAGUGAUGCUGGGUCUGGGUGUAGGAUAGGACCCUGGUGCCGAAGAGAAGGAACUGCUGGAAGAUCCCACGGAGGUUCCUGACAGAGGCUCAGAAGAAGAGAGAUCCAAGGCCGGCGAGGCCAGUAUGGGGCAAACAGGGUCAUGAAAACAGGUUCCUCCCGAAUCCAUCUUAGUAGAGGAAGUAUGAGGGGAGACGGAGGAAAUGCAUACCCCUUUGUGAACUUCCAUUUGCAUGAUAGGGCAUCCCUCUCCCGGGCCUGCGGUUCGGACCCCUCGAGAAGAAUCCCUGGAGCUUGCUGUUGGUGGCCAUGAUGUCUGAGGAAGAUCCCAUUUCUUCACAAUAUCCUUGAAGACUUCGUCUGAGAGGCUCCACUCUCCUGGGUCUAUUCUUACCCUGCUGAGGAAGUCUGCUACCGUAUUCUGCACUCCUGGCAGAUUAAUCGCCACUAGCCCACAAGGUUCUUCUGUGCCAAAAUCAUCAGGGAAAUCAUCAACCUUACCAUACUGCGACUUCGGUUACCUCCUUGAUGACGGAUAUGUGCUACUACUGUAGCACUGUCCGUUCUCACCUUCACCCACUUGUGCUGUAUUAAAUGCUGAAAGUGUUUCAGAGCUCUGAAAACGCCAGAAGUUCCAGAAGGUUUGAGUGGGUCUCGUGUGCAUGAAACUCCCACUUCCCCUGGGUGACCUUGUUCUGAAGGUAGGCUCCCCAACCCCAGUGACUGUCGUCUGUCGUUAUAGUAAUCCAGGGAAUGUUCCCAAGGGAGAACCCUGAGAACAGAGCCUUCUUGUUCAUCCACCACGUCAGUCUUAGAUGGACCAGGGUGGAAAUCCUGAUGGGCUGGAGUAGGUUCUUCCCUCUGUAUUGGGAAAGAAAAUUCCUUUGGAGUGUUCUCAUUCUCCAUUGCGCCCAUUUUGUCAAGUCUAUGGUUGAUGACAUGGAUCCUAGUAGGCUCAUGACUUUCUCUGCCAUGGCGACCUUGACUUGUAUCUCCUUCAUCUUCCUGAUGAGCUUUACUCCUCUUUCUCUUGAGAGCUGAACUGUCCCCAGUGCAGUGUUGAACAAGGCUCCUAAAUAAAGCAUGGAAUGUGAAGGAAUAAGGUGACUCUUUUCUCCAUUUAUCUUCCAGCCGUGUUCCUGCAGAUCUGUAUGCAGAUCUGUCCCUGUUGCUUGAGAGUGUACCUGUCCUCUGACAGCACCAGGAUAUCGUCCAGAUAAUGAAAAAUGGCAAUUCCCCGCUUUCUUAAUUCUGCGACCAGGAUCUUUGAGAAAGUGCGAGGAGCCAUACUGAGGCCAAAGGGAAGGGUUCGGAACUGGAAGUGCCCUCCUUCUACUGCGAAUCUCAGAUAUCUUUGAUGCAGUUGAGUGAUCGGAACAUGGAAGUAAGCAUCUUGCAGAUCUACACAGAUAUCAGCCAUUGCCCUGGGAAGACUGCUUUGAUUAUGGACUGAAGCGACUCCAUUUUGAAUCUUCUUACGUUCAAUCGCUUGUUGAGAGUGUGAAGAUCUAGAAUGGGUCUCCAUGCUCCUGAGGACUUUUUUGUGAGGAAUAGGUGAGAAUAAAACCUGUGUGUUCUUUCCUCCUUUGGAACCUCCAUAAUGACGCCUUCUUCAUGUAGGGAAGAAAAAACUCCAGAAGAGCCAAUCUCUGGUCGCUGUCUCCCGGCCAUCUUGUAAUUUGAAAACUGCGACGAGGUGGGGCAUCUCUGAAUUCCAGAAGAUAUCCUCUUUUGAUGAUGUCCAGCACCCACUUGUCUUUGGUAGAAGACUCCCAUCUCUUUUGGAAUAGGAGGCGGCGUGCUCCUACCCCUCAAGGCUGGGAGAUCAACCGGUCAUAAAGCUCUCGUGUUCCUGCUGAAUGCAGAACCUCUGGAUCUUCCUCCCCUGACUGAAGACUGUCCCCCUCUCCAAGGCUGGGAUCUUCUGUAUUCUCUACCUGGUCUGUAGGAUUUGAAGUCCCGAAAGGAAGAUUGAUCGGAAGGUCUUUUGGGUCGAAAAGAUCUCUUUGGCCUACGAUCUUGAGGUAAAAAAAGCAUUCUUGCCAUCUGCCGCUUUCUUAUUGCAAUCAUCCAGGUUCUUCCCAAAGAGCAUGUCUCCAUAGAAUGGUAAAGAGCAGAGGGUAUUUUUAGAUGAAGCAUCUGCUGACCAGGAUCUGAGCUACAAAGCCCUUCUAGCUGAGAUGGAAAAUGCCAUGUUCCUGGCCACUCCUUUGACCAUAUCCACUGAGGAUUCAGUAGUGAAAUCUACGGCCAGCUUAAUGUCUUGUAGAUUGCCCAUGAGGUUAGAUAUGCUUCUGCCCUCUUUGAUAUCCUCCUCCAAGCCUUCCAGCCAGAUCUUCAAAGCUCUGGAGACCGAGGUAAGGGCUACCGUGGGGUGGAGGCCUGUGCCUGCUGCCACAUAGGCCCUGGACAGGUUAGAGUCCAUCUUUUUAUCCAUGGAGUCUCAGAGAGCCAGCAUUAUCUACUGGCAAUGUGGUGCUCUUGGCCAGUCUUACCACCGCUGCAUCCACUUUAGGGGCUGAUUCCCAGUGGCCUGCGUCCUUUUUGUCAAAAGGGUAAAGGCGAGAAAUUCUCCCCUGAUUGGGAAGUUUCCUCUCUGUUUUGGACCAUUCUUCCAUAAUGAUGCCAUUAAUCGCCUCAUGAACCGGGAAAGUAACCCUCUUUUUGAGGUCAGAAAAGUAUCGACUGGAUGUAGAAGGCUCUUCUCUUGAAGGUUCCUUCAUGCUCAGAGACUUGCGGACACUGGAAAUUAAGUGAUCCACUUCGGUUGGGUCCAAAGUGUCUCUUUAAUGCCUUGGGAUACAGCAUUUUGAAUAAUUUGCAUCAAAUCCGGGGUGGAUGAUGCGGGACAUCCUGCGGCCUGUAUGCAAUCUGAGCAUAGGCGCUUCCCCUCCAGGGCCCUCUUGUCACAUGCUUCACAUAGGGACCUUACAGGAGACUUUCCUUUGGAUGUUCCUGUUGUAUUUUUCCCUUUAGUACUACUAUAAUAAGGGAAAAAUAUUAGCUAGCACUCUUUUGUUUAGAAGAAAAAUUGAAGAAAAAAAAUAUAGGAAAUGGCUUGCCCCUGAGAUUUAGAUAGUGACCUUUUACUUUGAACUGAUGAGUCUGAAUCCAUGAUCUCAGAUGAAGUCAUCUAUAAAAGUUAAGCCCAUAAAAUACUAGAAGGCUUAAAAAUAAGGUUAAAAACACAUCAACUGAAUAAAUAACAAAAAACAGACCAACUGUGCCUUUAAAAGACUUUCCUUCAGUCUGCACCACAAAACUGGGUGAAGACCGCACUGUACCGCUUUAAGUUAGCAGAGACUGUGUAGGAAAGUUAAAUUUCAGUAUUGGCGCUUUAAAAAGGGCGCCCAAACUACUGAAUGAUGUUAUCGGCACUGCGACGUACCGCGCAUGCGCAAGCGGCACUUCCGCGCAUGCGCGAAACGGCAUGACGCGAAUGCACUGUUCGUGCAUGCGCAAUGGCAAAAAUCUGACGCCAAGCCAGCAAAGAGACCCCAGGUCUCCCAACCUCAGCAGACCGCCAGAAAUGUGGCGAAAAUGCCGCGAAUAGGGACAGGGGAACCCUAGCUCAUCAGGGAAGCCCUGUACUCCCCCAGAAGGGAGAAUAAACACCGGGCAGAUAACUGCUGCAUUAAGAGGAGGAAUGCCUCCCAAUCAAAGAAGGCAGGAUUAACCAGGAAAAUGAAGAUAGAAGGGGGUAUAUGAAUACAGUUUAUGCCUUGCCCAUACCUGCUACCCCUAGGGUCACUGCAGUCAGUAGGGUAGUGGCUCCUUAUGCUUGCUGCCACUAGGGUCACUGCAAGGGGGUUCUCCAGGGUGACACCUUUGCACAGGGCCAUAUACUGGAGCUUCCCAAGGAAGAGAAGCUUAACUCCCCUGGGGCCAAGGGUAAAAACCCUUAAAGUAAGCCAUAAAAAAAAAAUAAAAAAAAAAAAAUCGUUGUCAGUCUGAAAAGACUAAUCUGUCCUAGAGAUAGGACAGGAACAAAAAGACUGAGGGUAGGAGGGGUACUUAUACCCGUGUUUUAAUUAGUUCCUGUUUAACUAGGGAUGGGGAGGAGC